GCAGUCGAACGAGGUAGAAAUAUCUAAGUGGCAAACGGGUGAGUAACACGUAGUUUACCUGCCCCGAAGAGGGGGAUAACGUCUCGAAAGAGACGCUAAUACCGCAUAAGCUCACGAUCUAUAGAGGGUUGUGAGAAAAGGAGAAAUCCGCUUUGGGAGGGGACUGCGGCCUAUCAGCUAGAUGGUGAGGUAAUAGCUUACCAUGGCGACGACGGGUAGGGGGCCUGAGAGGGUAGACCCCCACACUGGGACUGAGAAACGGCCCAGACUCCUACGGGAGGCAGCAGUGAGGGAUAUUGCACAAUGGGCGAAAGCCUGAUGCAGCGACGCCGCGUGGGAGAUGAAGGCCUUCGGGUUGUAAAUCCCUUUUUUGCGUGACGAGAAAAAGGACGGUAGCGCAAGAAUAAGUCUCGGCUAACUACGUGCCAGCAGCCGCGGUAAAACGUAGGAGACGAACGUUAUCCGGAGUUACUGGGCGUAAAGGGCGUGCAGGUGGCUACUUAAGUCUGAUGUGAAAUCUCUCUGCUCAACGGAGAGGGUGCGUUGGAUACUGGGCAGCUUGAGGACGGUAGGGGUGGAUGGACUUCCGGGUGUAGUGGUGAAAUGCGUAGAUAUCCGGAGGAACACCAGUGGCGAAGGCGAUCCACUAGGCCGUACCUGACACUAAGACGCGACAGCAUGGGGAGCGAACGGGAUUAGAAACCCCGGUAGUCCAUGCCGUAAACGAUGUCAGCUAGGCGUUCAGUUCUCGAAAGGGAAUCGGGGUGCCGCAGCAAACGCGAUAAGCUGACCGCC
rnacentral:rRNA from 1 species